UGGGAGAAGCCAGCUGCCAUGCCACGAGGACACUCAAGCAGCUUGAUGGAGAAGUCUACCUAGUGAGGAACUGAGGUCUCCUGCCAACAACCAGCAAGGAAUUGAGGCCUUCUGCCAACAGCUAUCACCAUAGUGAGAAUCUUUGAUCCUUGACUGGCUUCAUGGUUUCCAUUCUGGAUAACUCGCUAAUAAUUCAAAAGAAAGGGGACUUCACAACAAAAGCUACCAUGUUUGGAAAUCAAGGAAGGAACCUAGCUCAAAACCACUUCUCUGCCAGAAGUGCUCUCCAGGAAUUCUGGCCCGUGAAUAUCCUUCUUACUCAGUUAUUUUACGAUGUGAACAACUCCAUCUUGAAAUAAAUUGAACUGGGGAAAACUGGAAGUCUGGACUCUAGAGAGGUGUCUCCAGAGAGACAUGAAGAAUGACGGAGACACAGAGACCUCAGAAAAAAUUAGACAAUAUGGACACUAUGCUUCCUCAACGGGAAUUUUCUAAGGACUUAAAAACCAGUCCUUUGUCACUUCAAGUCAAGCUAUUGAUAUAGCUUUGGGCUUGUGGAUGUGUUAUUCAUGUUCUUGCUCAUCCCAUGGAAGUUGUGAAAUAAGGAAUAAACAUCAAUUCACAAGAAGAAUAAUGGCUGAUGAUCUGGUGGAUGAGCAGCUGAGCAACUGUGAUGCGCGCCAAAAGAGUCAAAAGUCAACUCUUCUUAAAGCACCACCAUCCACAUUAAUAUGACAGACCAGAAUAACUCUGAGGGAGCCAUUAUGAUCCAUUACGAAAAUAACAUUCAUUUGCAAAAUGAGGAACAUACCAAAAUGCAAGUGGUUCCAGUUCUUUCAGCUAAAUUACACAUUAAGCAAGCAGACUUCCUCUUCCAACAUUUUGAAACGGUUUAAUAUGCACUCGGGCUGGCCAGGGCCUAGAUUUUCUAAGACCGCCCCAAAGGUGAAGCCUCGAAAAAUGAGGACUGAUUGAUUGCCAGAGAGUCAGUCAGCCCCGCUGGUGUGUUGGUCAGGUGAAGCAUGACUGUGCUUUGAAAUUUCUCCUAGGGGACAGGAAUGAUACCACGUAGGAGCUGUGAAUCCCAGCUGGCUUCAUCCAAGAGCUUAUUGGCUGCUCCCCUCCAGUGGUUUGUUGGUUAGAACUCGGGGAUGAAGUGUAGUGGACGUUUGUUGUCUUUGCCUUUCGAGCAUUCAUUCAUACCUUCUUCUCAUAACAGUUCCUUGAAUUUCCUUUGGGAGGCUUCCCUUCCCUAUUCUUGGCCCAUGUAAUAAAAGCUAAGAAUGACAGCUAACGUGCAUUAAACUCUCAUCAUGUGCCAGGCACUGGUCGAACCAUCUUACAUUAACUCAUUUAAUCCUUAUACUAAC
rnacentral:lncRNA from 1 species